CUGGAAAAUACGCCUCAACAAGGGUGAGAUAAGCAACGGUAGGUUAAUUACUGAUAACAAUUUCGGUCUGACUGGGCUCAUAAGAAAUAUUCUGUCGAUUAAAGAAGAUGGAUAAAACGGUUUUUAUGUAAGCUCAUGUUUUGACCGACAGCUACGAUUUGAGGAUUUAUUUCAUAAUCAAAGCUGCUCAGUGCGGCUAUGGAUAGCAGAAUGUGUCCGAAACAAAGAAGUCGUAAUCAGACUUAAUGUGGAAGUAUAUAACAACUUUUUACUACAUGUAGCCAAAGCCAAGACAUCUUUGAAUCAAUCGUCUCUAACACACAGAACAUAAUUUAGUCGUGAUAUUUGAUUACGACCCCAACAACUUCUGACUGGCACAAAAGGAAAACGUUCUCUUUGGGUGAUUUAUAACAGCAUUUUCCCAUGCAAAUCCCGGCAACGCUCUAUCAUGAGAAAGACCACUGCAAGGUUUAGAAUUUUGAAUAGUAGCAGUGCUUCAAAAGGGUCCCUGGUGGAGACGCCACAUGAUAGUGAAACAGUCAUCGAAUCUUAACCUUAUUCCAAACUAAACAAAUAAAAACUGGCCAUGAUAAGGAUUCUACAAUCAUUGCUCGAGAUUGAUUACGAUGAUUAGAAAACAACUUUCAAGAGAUCGUAGUUAAGAGUCUGAUCUUAAGAUAGGAAGUUGAUUAAGUGUGAUCCUAACGGUGUUAUAGCUAGAAUGCACCGUUAGAUGUCGAGGAAAAUACCAGAAAAUAGCAAUGAUAAUCAAGCUAUGACAAGGGCCUUCUUGUCAGUCUGUGGUUCAGUGAAAAGAAAUUGGUCAUGCCCACUGAUUUGAUCGCAAAACCAAUUAAGAGUUAUUUUCAUCGAGAUGGGAUGAAAUGCGAAGCAAAAAUGUCCAAGUCUUAGGAUUAGCCAUGCAGUCGAUCUUUUUCCGAUUGAAUAGAUAUUACCAGGAGUUCUUUCACAGCUACCUCCUAACUUCAUAUGUCAGGGUCACGUGACGGAUUCCCGCAAAAGGUUUAAAAGAAUCGAACCCUUCGGCUGUACUUUGCAAACUCGGCUCAAACAGAUUAGAGUCCUCGAUAUCUAAUUGGCUAACGACGAACAAUAGAGGUAGUUUCUACGGCAUUUUUUUUUAAAAAACAGUUUCAAUUUCAACGCCGGACCGUCAGCCAUUUUGGAUUUGAGUCCGUUCCAAGAAGACGGCUUGGAAGACUCGUUUCAACGCUAUUAAAGUGAAACUGAUUUGGUCAAAUGUUUCUAGAUAAGUUUGAUGACCGAGUUUGUGACUAAACGUGGGACAUCACUCGAAAAGUCAGAUGCGGGCAAUUAUCAAGGCCACUAGUCAAGUACCACAUUAUCUCCGCUUUACAACGUUUCGCUUACAUCAAAGACGGUUCGUUGCCGGCAUUGUAAAGUUCGUUGUCUUAUGAUAAAAACUACCCAAUUAAUAAUACCUUACAACGUACAGCAUAAAAUGGCCUCCUUUAGGGCAUAAAUGAUAGCCAAGCUUCUUACUAUAAAGAUGGGCUGAAAUUAAAAUAUUGCACAUGUUUCUUAGACAUUUAAGAGUUGUGGAAAUAUAGCGGUGAAUAUAGCCUAAGGGCUGAUGAAUCAAACUCAGUAAGAUGGUCGCUUGAGAUCAAAGCUGAAUCCGUUAUGACGGCGGGCAUGCUUGUUCGGCAUUAUUAUCAAGAUUGGAUGAUAAAAAUCCCUCCAAAGUUCGUCUGUUAAGUAUAAAAUCGCCUUUAAUUUGACUAAAGAAACGUUUUCCCCACCGAACUCAUAACCAUCUUGAAGAUUAACGUUCUUAAAAACUAUUUUUGCUAGCCUUAGGGAUGGAGGUACAUAAACAUAACCAAACAUGUCAAGUGGUCUCUUCCGCCUGAUAGCGGUGUAUUUGCAUAUAAAGGGUACCGCUGUGUUAUUUAAAGCUCACACAGGAAGGUAGUCUAGAGGUCCUUGCAAAUUAAAGGUCGUAAAUUUGAAAGAGUAUCAACUGUGUCCCGUACCCUAAAAGUGGAAUGGACAGUAAAGAACAGUAAAAAGAGAUUCCUUUUGUAAAUGGAUCGAUUCUCUUAAAUCUUCUGUGAAAAAGCACGUUUUCUAAUUUGAAAAUGUAUCAAUAUUACUUUAGCUGGGUCAACUAUUAGGAAGAGCCCGGCCAAUGAAAAAUAUUGUACUAUGUCAAGAUCAAUUUAAAAAGCAAAUAUGUAGAAUGUUAAGUACUCACCUGCUAGCACGAUCAUGCUGUAAAGGUUUAAGCUCUUUCGAACGAUAAACUUUGAAACAAAACCAAAAUAAGGGGAAGAACUCUGAUGAACGCUCUUUGAGUAGAACUGAGUAAUAAUAAAGUAAUGUAUAAUAAUGAAGAAUUUCCAAAACAUUCCGAGCUUUAUCCCGAAUGUUUUUUGUAACCUGUGAGGUGCGUUAACGUACCCGAAAACUUUUUGCACUGCACGGACCUAUUACCAGUUUUUCUGCAGUAAAUUUGUCCAAACUCACGACUUCGGUUUACUUUGAUUCGAGGGAAAAAACUCUGUUCUUCCGAAACAGCGUUCAAUAAGGCCGUCGUCCCCUGCUAACCCUAAAUUAUUUUGUAGCUAAUGUAAAUUAUUACUGACUGCAGCUUUAGCGCCGAAACCAACUGACUUUAAACAUUAUUCAAGACAACCCUAUACUGUAUGAGGUAUACUUUUCUAUAUUUCAAACAGUUCUAUGCAGAUUCAUGGGGCUUGAUGACGUUUAUACCCGGCUGACGCUCUAUUGAACAGACUUCUAUCCAUGCAUAUUGACAUCUCGAGUGUUUUACUAUUAAACUGUAGAAUACUGACCUGGGGUAGUAGAAGUUAAGUAGCUUGAAACAGAUUUAGAAAAUCCACUGCUAUUAACAAAUCGUAAGACCUCGUGGCGAAAUCAAUUAACAUGCCUCAACUUGUAACACUAUAUAAUGCAACAGAGUCCUGGGCUCUACAGUACCCGUGUCACCAUGAGAACAGGUGAAAAGUGAAACUGAAAAAAAAAAGAAAGAAAACAUGAUCUGACGAUCGAGUCAGUCGAUUUUUUUUUUAAACUUCUGAAGUUCAUUAAUUGGUUAGAAAUAGCAACAACAAACAAUAGAGUCGUUACGAUACAGUACGAGCAAUAACAGCAUUGACGAAAAUUUCUUUCACCUUUAACGGGCGACUGACCGUGCACACAGAUAUUGACACUUCGUACUACGAUUCUCCUGUUCAGUUUAUUAAAUACCGUGUUCCAUCGUCAUAACGAAACGCAUGGUAAGACUUAUAUUUACAAAAGAAAUUCAUUAAACGCUGCCUAUGGUAAAAUGUAUUCACAAUAUCUGGCUAAAACGUAACAGAUAGGCCGCUGGUUUUCCCUAAAUUGGCCUAUUUCUACGCUUUUAUUUGUUUACCAGCCAAUCAAAAUAAAUUGUAUUACUAUCUACUCUCACCGCCAACAGAUGCAAAGCCAACACCAAAUUUUGUUGCCUACGUUGUCUUGGCCAAUCAGAUUACACCUGUUUUCUGAUUGGCUGCUGUAGAUGGCUUUGUGAUUGGCUUUAUAACUUAUCACGUGAACCAAACGCCAUUGGAUAAACUACUACUUGUAAAUAACCUAAUGAACCUGUUUUUCAGCUCUAACACGGCGAAAUGUAAGAAACAGUCUAACACAAGUACUCGAUCAACAGUUUAGACCAUGCCGUAAUAAUAUCAGGGGACUUAAAGUUUGAGUAAGAGUGCGACUUCUCAAUUCUAGUUUGCAGACUUCACAUUUUCACGUCACAUACCCAUCUCAUCCCAUGAGCGACCCUCUCAACUUGAAACUAACACGAGGAGCAAGGGCUCUGGAAAGAUCACUGAUUUGAAAUUUGUAAAUCGUUCUUGUACUGUUAGUCCAAUCUAAAGAUCCUAAUGACUGACCAACUCAACAAGAUCUUAAGGAGAGUGAACGGAUCUACACAGGUUAACAAGUUACUGUAACAUAACCUACAGCUAACAAAAGAUAAACACGGUAAUGCAGUUGAACCUCCUCAAUACGGUCACAAAAGGAGCUCUCCUGAGUGUCAGUAUUGUGGAGGUAGAAAUUAUAUGUGAGAUGUAGUUACUCUGGAAGAAAGUGUGACCUGGCUGCAAUAUAAAAGUGUCCAUUGGGUGAGGCUGGCUGUAAGAAGAGGUUCGACUGUAGGCUGAUUUGCCUUCACCCAUGAUUAAGGGUAUCAUCAAGCUUAAACUGGUAGCGGUGCCAAGUUGUCAUUUAGUUUCUUCCCUAAGUGUAGAAAGCAAUUGACACUUACAUAAGUUGAUGGAGUAAGACUACAUAACACAGCCGAGAAAUCUAACAGUUGAAAACACCCCAGUUUUAAAUCCCCACUACAUAUGUGUAAAUCUACUUUUUACAAUAAUUUAAAUAA